CCUGCCCAAUGAUUUUUUUUUAAUGGCCGCAGUACUUUGACUGUGCUAAGGUAGCAUAAUAAAUUGGCUUUUAAUUUAAGUCUGGAAUGAAUGGAUUUAUGAAUAUUUACUGUCUUUAUAAAAUUUAUGUUAAGUUUCUGAAGAAGGUGAAAAUUCCUUUAAUAAAAUUUAAAAGACGAGAAGACCCUAGGAGUUUAAAUGGUAAAUUUUGUUGGGGCAACAUUAUAGUAAUAUAAUCUAUAAAAUAAUAUUUAAUCUAAUCGAAAAUUUUUAAUUAAGAGUAAGCUACCCUAGGGAUAACAGCAUAAUUUGUUUAACUAAUAAGUUUGUGACCUCGAUGUUGGAUUAGGGAC
rnacentral:rRNA from 1 species